CAAAAAUAGUGGUGGAUCACUCGGCUCGUGCGUCGAUGAAGAACGCAGCUAGCUGCGAGAACUAAUGUGAAUGAAUGCAGUUUUAAAGAUAAUCAUGCUCAGAUUAAUCAGGUCAACGUUAACAAUGAUCUACAGUGUAAAUGUGUGUGC
rnacentral:rRNA from 1 species